GUACUGGGACGAUUCCGCGGAGCCGGGCAGAGGUUUUAGGGGUGCGCAGGAGUCAAGUGGUGGUUCAGUGGGGACGGAAUGAUUAACAAAGGCGUCCGAAGAAAUCGUUGUUGGAAGGUGACCAAGGUGGAAAGAGACGUUGCUUUGGCCCUGCAAGUAAGAAGAGAGAGGGAAUAGCCUGAAGGAGUAACACUAAAUUUAAAAUGACACUUUUUUACCAACCAGCGAAAGCAGAUGUUCAAAGGGGAUAUUGGCCAGAGUCUGUCACACUAAGAUGAGAAAUGUCCUUUCUUCCUGAAGGUGUCUGAUGUGUAAAAAUAUGAUAUACUUUGUGCUGUUUCCUCCCUUCCCUUUUGCAUAUUAUUCUGAAACAACAUUAACUAGUUACUUUGCGUCAUUGAAGGUUUGGAUAAUUAAGGGAGCACUAGAAAACUUUUUUUUUUUUUUUUGAGAUGGAGUCUGUUGCCCAGGCUGGAGUACAGUGGUACGGUCUCGACUCACUGCAAUCUCCGCUCCUGGGUUCAAGUGAUUUCUCUUGCCUCAGUCUCCUGACUAGCUGGGAUUUACAGGCGCAUGCCACCAUGCCCAGCUAAUUUUUGUAUUUUUAUUAGAGACGGGUUUCAUCAUGUUGGUCAGGCUGGUCUCAAACUCCUGACCUCGUGAUCCACCCGCCUCGGCCUCCCAAAGUGCUGGGAUUACAGGUGUGAGCCACCGUGCCCAGCCGAAAAUGUUUCUUUGCAAGGAUAAAUAUAUGAAGAUAAACUUGCCGAGCGUAAAUAUGUUCAUGAAUAUAGCCACUUAAGGAAAUUCAAACAUGCAGAGAUGUUCAGCUGUAUGCAGUUAUGUAUUCAUGAAGUAUUCAUGUAUUCAUGAAGCCUUAUUUGAUGUAGAAUCUGAGGGUGCUGCCUAUACAUAAACUUGCUUAAAGGUUAAAACUUAAGGAAUGUUCAUCAAAGUCACUUUCUUACACCUAACUCCUGAUUUCAUGAAUAUAACACAUAGGUGCUUAUCAAACUGAAUACCUUGGAGAUGAGCUGCUCCAGCACCAGAAGAUAAAAUUCAGUAACUGUAAUCCUUGAGGUACCUAAGUGAUACAUUUUUUUUAAGACUGAGCCAAAAUAAAACAGCUUUCCUCCUUCCCUACCCUCUCCGACCAAACUUUUAGCCAUUUUAUUUAUUUAUUUAUUUGAGAUGGGGUCUAGCCAUGUGGAGUGCAGUGGCUAUUCACAAGCAUGAUCAUAGCAAAUGACAGCCACAGACUCCUGGGUUCGAGCAAUCCUGCCUCAGCCACUCAAGUAACUAGGACUACAGGCGUAUACUGGGGCUUCUAGCCAUUUAUAUGGUAUUAAGUGACAGCUUCUAUAGUUACUUGGUACUUGUCCCUGUAAAACUGCACAGUGUGUAUUCUCUUGGCUCAAUUAUUAGCAUAUUCUGCCAUUUCCUUGUGAAUGUUUUGUAUUUUAUAUAGGAAAACUUAAGUUUUUAAAUAUCCUGAAAUAACUGAAGAAUUUUGUUUUUGCCUUUAAGUGGUAAUGUAUAAAGUAUACUAUUGCAGAGA
rnacentral:lncRNA from 1 species